GUGGGGAAUAUUGGACAAUGGGCGCAAGCCUGAUCCAGCCAUGCCGCGGGAGUGAUGAAGGCCCUAGGCUUGUAAAGCUCUUUCACCGAUGAAGAUAAUGACGGUAGUCGGAGUAGAAGCGCCGGCUAACUUCGUGCCAGCAGCCGCGGUAAUACGAAGGGGGCUAGCGUUGUUCGGAAUUACUGGGCGUAAAGCGCACGUAGGCGGAUAUUUAAGUCAGGGGUGAAAUCCCAGAGCUCAACUCUGGAACUGCCUGUGAUACUGGGUAUCUCGAGUAUGGAAGAGGUGAGUGGAAUUCCGAGUGUAGAGGUGGAGUUCGUAGAUAUUAGGAAGAGCACCAGAGGCGAAGGCGGCUCACUGGUCCGGUACUGACGCUGAGGUGCGAAAGCGUGGGGAGCAAACAGGAUUAGAAACCCGAGUAGUCC
rnacentral:rRNA from 1 species